GAGAGAGAGAGAGGUCUAUUGUUGCUGCUUCCAAACGGGAUUUGUUUCGGUAGAGAAAGAGAGUGCGAGAGAGGGAGAGAGACCAAGAUUGAAAGGAACCUUCUGAAGAAUGAGAAUACUAAUGAUGCAUCCGUUGAACUUGUGACCUCAAUAGUUGAGAAAUACUACAAAGGAAAAUGCUACGCCCACCGCUCCCUCGUCCCGCUUGAUGUGGCAUGCCCCCGUGGCAUUAGUUUAAUAUUAAAAAAAUUUUUGAAUCACUGCUUCCUUUCACUUUGUUCUUCUCUCCCGAAACAAAACCUAACAAAACCUAACUUCUCUCCACUUCGUAGCAUUUUGGACUACCCUGGGCGAACGUCAGCCUCCCGAAUCUUCCUUUCUGGCUCAUAAAAUUUUUUUGAAUCAGUCGGCUUUUCUUCUUCUCUCCUGAGCUUCGAAUCGGGUAACAUUUUUCCAUUCCAUUUUUGAAGCAAUCGGCUAAUCUCUCCACUUCGUAGCAUCUCUUUUCUCCUGCCUUUUUAAUUUUAUGCCAACUGAAGCAUUUCUUCUCUCCUAACAAAUUUCUCCACUUCGUAGCAUUUUCCCCUGCCAUGGGUGAACCUCAACUUAUAAAGCUGCUUUUAUGUCAGUGAAAAUGGAAGGUGUGCCUACAUAGUGUGAAGUGGGGUGCCAGGAUGCAACAGGCUAGAGAUUGACACUAUCGUGUGUUCUUAGUGGGAUCACCAUGGAAAUUCCUCAUCUUCAAGAAAGCAGACAUUCUUUGUCUUCGUAUUUUCUUGCCCCAGUGAAUAUACAGUGGUUGCUGCUGCAUUGAUAGAUAAUGCUAAUGACAUCCUCAGGGCUCGAGCACGGACUGAUUCCCUUGAUGAGCGAAUUUUCUGUUGGGGACCUCCAUAUAAUGGCUGUUUUUCUGAGAAAUGUAUGACCUAAGUCUGUGUAUUGGUUUGUAAAUCGAUGUCUAGAACAUUUUCCAUCCUUUUUUUUUUUUUUUGGUUCUUGUCAGAGUUUUCUUUAGAACUUAAUCAUGAAUAAAUCGCCACUUUUUGCACGUAAAAGAAAUUGAUUGUUAGAUAAUAUUAUUGUUCCAAAACCAAAUUAUCAGGAACUGUGCAAAAAUCAAUGUGACUCAUGUUGAACA